GUGAAUCAUCGAAUCUUUGAACGCAAAUUGCACUCUCUUCUGAGAGUAUGCCUGUUUGUGGGUCAGCCUAAAAAAAAUCGACAUAGUUGCUGUUUCGCGGUGACAUUCGUCGGUAAGUGGGUCAUCUUAAAGCUUUGGGGUUUAAGCGGCUUAAAAUUUUCUUUACGUUUCCACGAACGUUUCUCAGAUUUUUCUUUUUACACGUUUAAGGUAAUGUUCUUUAUUAGUCG
rnacentral:misc_RNA from 1 species